AUUGCACGCUGGCGGCAGGCCUAACACAUGCAAGUCGAGCGGAGCGGCGGAAGGGUGAGUAAGGCCUAGGAAUCUGCCUGGUAGUGGGGGACAACGUCCGGAAACGGGCGCUAAUGCCGCAUACUAUCAGAUGACCCUCGGUCGGCUUAGCUAGUGGGUGGGGUAAAGGCUUACCAGGGCGACGAUCAGUAACUGGUCUGAGAGGAUGAUCAGUCACACUGGAACUGAGACACGGUCCAGAAUCCUACGGUAGGCAGCAGUGGGGAAUAUUGGACAAUGGGCGAAAGCCUGAUCCAGCCAUGCCGCGUGUGUGAAGAAGGUCUUCGGAUUGUAAAGCACUUUCAGUUGGGAGGCGUUACCAACAGAAUAAGCACCGGCUAACUUCGUGCCAGCAGCCGCGGUAAUUC
rnacentral:rRNA from 1 species